UAGCAGCCAUCUUACAAUGCAGUCGAACGGUGAAGCCAAGCUUGCUUGGUGGAUCAGUGGCGAACGGGUGAGUAACACGUGAGCAACCUGCCCUGAACUCUGGGAUAAGCGCUGGAAACGGUGUCUAAUACUGGAUAUGAGCUGCGGAGGCAUCUUCGUGGUUGGAAAGAUUUUUCGGUUUGGGAUGGGCUCGCGGCCUAUCAGCUUGUUGGUGAGGUAAUGGCUCACCAAGGCGUCGACGGGUAGCCGGCCUGAGAGGGUGACCGGCCACACUGGGACUGAGACACGGCCCAGACUCCUACGGGAGGCAGCAGUGGGGAAUAUUGCACAAUGGGCGGAAGCCUGAUGCAGCAACGCCGCGUGAGGGAUGACGGCCUUCGGGUUGUAAACCUCUUUUAGCAGGGAAGAAGCGUGAGUGACGGUACCUGCAGAAAAAGCGCCGGCUAACUACGUGCCAGCAGCCGCGGUAAUACGUAGGGCGCAAGCGUUAUCCGGAAUUAUUGGGCGUAAAGAGCUCGUAGGCGGUUUGUCGCGUCUGCUGUGAAAACCCGAGGCUCAACCUCGGGCCUGCAGUGGGUACGGGCAGACUAGAGUGCGGUAGGGGAGAUUGGAAUUCCUGGUGUAGCGGUGGAAUGCGCAGAUAUCAGGAGGAACACCGAUGGCGAAGGCAGAUCUCUGGGCCGUAACUGACGCUGAGGAGCGAAAGGGUGGGGAGCAAACAGGCUUAGAUACCCUGGUAGUCCACCCCGUAACGUUGGGAACUAGUUGUGGGGUCCAUUCCACGGAUUCCGUGACGCAGCUACGCAUUAAGUUCCCCGCCUGGGGAGUACGGCCGCAAGGCUAAAACUCAAGGAAUUGACGGGGACCCGCACAAGCGGCGGAGCAUGCGGAUUAAUUCGAUGCAACGCGAAGAACCUUACCAAGGCUUGACAUACACGAGAACGCUGCAGAAAUGUAGAACUCUUUGGGACACUCGUGAACAGGUGGUGCAUGGUUGUCGUCAGCUCGUGUCGUGAGAUGUUUGGGGUUAAGUCCCGCAACGAGCGCAACCCCUCGUUCUAUGUUGCCCAGCACGUAAUGGUGGGGACUCAUGGGAUACUGCCCGGGAUCAACUUCGAGGAGGUGGGAAUGACGUUCAAUCAUCAUGCCCCCAUUAUGUUCUUGGGGCCAUC
rnacentral:rRNA from 1 species